rnacentral:rRNA from 1 species
ACACAGCAAGUCGAGCGGUAAGGCUCCUUCGGGAGUACACGAGCGCGAACGGGUGAGUAACACGUGAGCAAUCUGCCCAUCACAUCGGGAUAACUUCGGGAAACCGAAGCUUAAUACCGAAUACAACCACUUCAGGCAUCUGACGGUGGUGGAAAGUUCCGGCGGUGAUGGAUGAGCUCGCGGCCUAUCAGCUUGUUGGUGGGGUAAUGGCCCACCAAGGCUUCGACGGGUAACCGGCCUGAAAGGGUGCCCGGCCACACUGGGACUGAGACACGGCCCAGACUCCUACGGGAGGCAGCAGUGGGGAAUAUUGGCCAAUGGGCGAAAGCCUGAUCCAGCAACGCCGCGUGAGGGAUGACGGCCUUCGGGUUGUAAACCUCUUUCAGCGCCGACGAAGCGAAAGUGACGG